GUAAAUGCACAAGCAGGUUACAGAAGACAUGCGCAAGUCUGGUAAAGCACAUAGGACUUUCAUGCAACCGGGGCUUGCCUUCAAGCAAGGAGGGCGGGAACUGCUCGGCUUCGGGGGCGACUUCGGCUUCCGCGGGCAGGAACUCGGCUACAGCUUCUUCUUCUGGCGCCGGGUGGAGCUCGUAGAAACCGUCGGCGAGGUGCAGCUCUACACGAAUGCAAUGCAAGGGUUAGCUUAGACGGUUAUUCCAACAGCAGCACUGGCUCGCCUGAGCCCAGAAACUUGCGACAAAGAGCAGGAGGUUAUGGUGGUUCGAGAGAGCUGAUGAUGAUCAACAGGUAAGGGUAGGAAGGGAAACUAGUGGUCUGAUCCUCGAACUAGAGGAUGUGAUAACUGGGAUCCUUAGACGCAAGCGCUGAAGGGUUCCCAGGUUUUACACAUACACCCUCGAGUUGAAGAAAAAGAUCACAGCCAAGCCCUCGGGCGAGGCGGAUAAGGGUCGGCGGAACAGACAGGGUCGGGCGAGACGGAACUGGGGUCGGGCGGAUAGGAGGGGUCGGGCGAGGCGGACUAGGGUCGGCAACUCACCUUCUUCCUGAAAGGAAAACUUGGGGUCGGGAAGAAGCGAACUUGGGCGGAGGGACUAAAGCUUCGAGUAAGGGCUAGGACUGGCAAUGCUCCGGCGGCGGCGCUGCUUCUUGCGGAUCACAAGAGAGCUCUUACGCAGCACGGAGGAGCAAGCUGCUGGGUGACUUGGAGGAAC
rnacentral:lncRNA from 1 species